CUCACUGCUACAUUUCCAAAAAUCCUGACACAAGGUAGGCAAAAUUAGCCAGAGCUCUACUGCUGAGUUAGGAAAAUGAUCUGGGUACAGUUCAAGUGACAGAAUGAUUGAUGUAGAUCACAGUGAAAAGUCUUGGAAAGGUUUAUCUUUCCUCCCUGUGACAGAAAAGUUCUUCUGUCUGGCACAGAACUAAAACCAGAGGAUCACAAAGCACUGCUGACAAUUAUUUAAAAGAACAAAGAGAUGAUUUCCACCCAAGACAAGCCUCAGCUGUGACUGGUGACCCGAGAUCACCAAUGAUGCUUUUGCAUUUUUUCUUGCUAGAAAACCUUUUAUGAGGCUGAGCAUGGCAGUGGAGCAGAAGGACCUCAAAGUUUCAAGAAAAAAUCAGAUUGGAAGCCAAACCCUUUCACCUUGGUCCCAGUUUUAAGGAUUUGUCCCAGCCACCAGGUGAUGGAGCCAAUGUCUCACUUUGGCACUGGAAUGAGCAGAACAGAGCAGAAAUGAUUGAUCCCAAGGCCUGUGACAGCAUAAUCAGCAGAUGGUGAGGACAGGCUGCCAAGAGGAAAGGGAAGUUCAAAAGACACGAGUGGAAUUCCUUGCAUCUGUCUCCUCUCUGCUUGCUUCUUUUUCAGUGAACAUGUCCUUUCAGUGUAAAGUGCUGAAAGUACAGCACAGCUAAGAGCAGAAGCGAAAAUUAAUUCUACUUUUUCUUCUCAUUAAAUAUUUUCUUCUACCAAGGAGGUAUGAUAAAAUUCUGGUAUUAAAAAGCUAGUUAAAAGCUGCUCUUGCAAUUUAAAACUUUUUGUUCUUAUUCUAUGGACAGUAACAGGAAAAAAGGUGCUAUUCCUUAUGAAAAAUAGUCAUUCCUUAAGUAUCAUGUUUUUCUUAAGUAUCACGAAUUCUACUGAACAGUGCAAUAUUCCACCUAAUACCUGUUAUACCUGAGCUUGAAUAUUCACAGUUAGACUCAUCAUUAUGCAGCCCUGAGUAUAAUGUGACAGCAUAAACAGCAAUCACUUUUUUUUCUGUAUGAAACCUUCCUGAAAUUAAAAUCAGCUAAAUUGGAAUCAGAUGUGAUAUCAGCCAAAAUUCAAUUAGUACUUGCUUUUGUUUCCACCUUCCCUCAAAAAUCAAGUUUUAAACAGGGUGAGAGAAUGCUGCUUCUUUAGUUUUAUCACAGCUAAAUCCUUUCUAAACAGGAUAUGGAGGAAAAAUAGACUGACCUAUUCAAGCACACCAGAAAAACCAGUAACAUAUCUUGUUAUUCAGGGAAAAAAAUAGGGAAAAAAUAAAAUAAAGCACAACAAUUUAAUCCA
rnacentral:lncRNA from 1 species